GCCGCGGUGGUGACAGUCGCCAUUUUAUUUUGAAAAUCAAACUGAACUGGAGGCAGAGCGACCCUUCCAUUUCGUCAAGUUUGUUGUGCGAAACAAGAAGGGAUGAACAUCUGAAUUACUUUCUUGGGAGCAUGAAGCUGAACUUGAUUUUAAACUGAAGGACUUUACCUAGCACCGGGAUCCACUGAUCGGAAAACCCAUUUGGACGUUUAUAUAUUUUUUUACACUUUUGGGGGGGGGAGCAGAAUUAACCUAUCACUGAAGUGAUUAAAGGGGAAUAAUGGUGAUUUUGCGCCGUGCUCGGCCGCCUGCUUCCGCCCCGAACAGCAAUGAAUCUUGACUCGCUUUCGCUGGCUUUGUCUCAAAUCAGCUAUCUGGUGGACAAUUUAACUAAGAAAAACUAUCGAGCCAGCCAGCAAGAAAUACAGCAUAUUGUGAAUCGUCACGGUCCUGAGGCAGACAGGCAUCUACUUCGCUGUCUCUUCUCUCAUGUGGAUUUCAGUGGCGAUGGUAAAAGCAGUGGCAAGGACUUUCACCAGGUAAUUUUUGAUUAGAAACACAUUGUUUUUUGUUAGUUUUUUUACAAAGAUCUUUCCUAGUAGUACUGAGUCAUAAUUUCUCUGAAAAGCAACAGAAGAUGUUUUUCCGACAUUCGUGAAUGGUUUCCUUAGAAAUAUAUUUUUAGUUUCCUAAAAAUGUACAACGGUUGAACAAAAUUUGGCCUGCUGUUUUUCAAGUGAAAUUAGUUUAGCACCCUUCGUGUCUCCCAUUUCCCAGGAUUUUCACGCAGUUUAGCUGCAGAACUUUCUAGAAUUGAAUGUUACCCUUUUUUAAAGUAAAUUGGUAUUAGACACUUUACCAGUACA